rnacentral:lncRNA from 1 species
ACAUAGUCUAGUGAGGAAGCAUAAUUAUUGCCUUAAAUGUAGAUGCUCCAUCAAGUGAUCGGUGAAUCUUUGAGCCAAGGUUUUCCCACCUUCAACCCAGCAGCAAGCAAAAUGGAAGAACCGAAAGGCAGGAGAUCAUCGUCUGACUCCACCAUCAGUGUGACACAGACGACAGGAAGUUGUGGGCUGACAAUCAGGUCGUCCAGCCUCUAGC